GACGAACGCUGGCGGCGUGCUUAACACAUGCAAGUCGAACGGUAAGGCCCUUCGGGGUACACGAGUGGCGAACGGGUGAGUAACACGUGGGUGAUCUGCCCUGCACUUCGGGAUAAGCCUGGGAAAAUGGGUCUAAUACCGGAUAGGACCCUGGGAUGCAUGUCCUGGGGGGGAAAGCUUUUGCGGUGUGGGAUGGGCCCGCGGCCUAUCAGCUUGUUGGUGGGGUGAUGGCCUACCAAGGCGACGACGGGUAGCCGGCCUGAGAGGGUGACCGGCCACACUGGGACUGAGAUACGGCCCAGACUCCUACGGGAGGCAGCAGUGGGGAAUAUUGCACAAUGGGCGCAAGCCUGAUGCAGCGACGCCGCGUGAGGGAUGACGGCCUUCGGGUUGUAAACCUCUUUCAGCACCGACGAAGCGCAAGUGACGGUAGGUGCAGAAGAAGGACCGGCCAACUACGUGCCAGCCGCCGCGGUAA
rnacentral:rRNA from 1 species